CGUAACGCGUAUGCAACCUACCUUCUACAGGGGAAUAGCCCAGGGAAACUUGGAUUAAUGCCCCAUGGCCCAUACAGAUAGCAUUUGAAGUAUGGUAAAGAUUUAUCGGUAGAAGAUGGGCAUGCGUCCCAUUAGCUUGUUGGUAAGGUAACGGCUUACCAAGGCUACGAUGGGUAGGGGCCCUGAGAGGGGGAUCCCCCACACUGGUACUGAGACACGGACCAGACUCC
rnacentral:rRNA from 1 species